rnacentral:rRNA from 1 species
CCAAGAGAGUCGGUAAUACCCAAAGACCCUGUUUCAAAGCAGGGGCCACGGUGGGAUCGAUAAUAAGGGUGAAGUCGUAACAAGGCAUCCGUAGCGGAAGCUGUGGAUGGAUCACCUCCUUU